AAUCCAUUGGCUUAUUUGAUAGAGCACGAGAAUUUUAAUCUCGGUGUGCUGGGGUUCGAGCUCCAGAUGGAUUA
rnacentral:tRNA from 1 species